AUCUAAAUAGUUUAAAAAAAACUUUGGUUUGUGGAGCCAACAAUAUAUGAAUAUAUUUUAGAUC
rnacentral:tRNA from 1 species